AAUAUGAGUGUUGUCAAAUCGUACAGUUUUGCCUAACCAGUUACUCGGAUAGUCGUUUGACCGAUUAACCGGUUAACCGGUAGUUUUAGUUCAUGUUUCAGAGCCUAACCUAUAGUACACUACAGAAGUUUGUUUUCAUAAUACGACGAAUUAAAAAAUAUAGAGAAUGGAAAUGGGGAAUAUAUCAAAGAGACAACAACCCGACCAAAGAGCAGAUAACAGCCGAAGGCAAACGAUGAGUCUUCAAUGACGUUUGUCCUUUUGCAUUAUACAUGUUAUAAGGAAUUUGUCUGUGAGGAAUACUGACGAAGUUUGAUUUUAAUAAUCCAAUACCACCGUAUAUGCUAUGGCGUUUGUAAUAUAUUCAUAUUGAAAAAAUAAAAAACCUUCUUGAUCUCGUCGAAUUAAAAUGAUUCUUUCUCUUUCUCUUGAUGUUUCAGAAAAUAAUGUGGGGUGUUUCAAUUUGAAAUUAUUAAGCCAGUUGCAUCGAGUAUACAUUAAUUACAUUCACCUUGAUUUUAGUACAAUAUUUUAGUUGGCAUUUCGUUUAAAGUAUGACAAAGAUGCAUAAGUUCUCUGUUCGCAUGUGUAUACAUGCAUUGCGUGGCAGAUAACGUCGUCCUCAAAUUUACUCGUCUCAAUGUGACAUUUUGAGAAGCGUUUUUGUUACAAGUUUGAAUAGCUAUAAUAUAUUUGAUAAAUAAUGAAUGAGGAGUUUGUAUUUCAAUUUGAAAACACCAUUAAUACUAAAGUCAUCAACUAAGUUUUUUUUCAUUUGUUGCAAGUCCAUUUAUCACAUAAAUCUACAGUAAAAAUUC
rnacentral:lncRNA from 1 species